rnacentral:rRNA from 1 species
CUACGGGGUGCAGCAGUGGGGAAUAUUGGACAAUGGGGGAAACCCUGAUCCAGCAAUGCCGCGUGUGUGAAGAAGGCCUGCGGGUUGUAAAGCACUUUCGGUUGGGAGGACUGCUUCUAGCACUAAUAUUGUUGGAAGUUGACGUUACCUUCAGAAGAAGCACCGGCUAACUCCGUGCCAGCAGCCGCGGUAAUACGGAGGGUGCAAGCGUUAAUCGGAAUUACUGGGCGUAAAGCGCGCGUAGGCGGCUAGAUCAGUCGGGUGUGAAAGCCCCGGGCUUAACCUGGGAACUGCAUCCGAUACUGUCUAGCUUGAGUACAGGAGAGGAGAGUGGAAUUCCACAUGUAGCGGUGAAAUGCGUAGAUAUGUGGAGGAACACCAAUGGCGAAGGCGACUUACUGGGCUGUCACUGACGCUGAGGCACGAAAGCGUGGGGAGCAAACAGGAUUAGAUACCCUCGUAGUC